AUGAAGAAGAUCGUGGUGAAGCUGGAACUGCAAUGCGACAGGCAGAAGCAGAAGGCGAUCAAGACAGUCUCCACUCUUUGUGGUAUCGACCAGAUCGUCGUGGACACGAAGGACGGCAAGAUGGGCACGGUCGACCCCGUCCACGUCGUCUGCAAGCUGCGCAAGCGCUUCUGCUCGGUGUGGAUAGUCUCCGUCGGCCCGGCCAAGGAGGAGAAAAAGAAUGGCGACAAUGAGGGCAAUAAGACGGAUGUCAACAAGGAGAAGACGAACGGCAGCGGGGACAAGACGGACGGCAACACGAAGGGCGCGUGCACGCCCAUCCCAGUGUGCCAGCCGUGCUACCCGCCGCACUGGUACCCGCAGCCGUGUUACCUCGUCCACACCGAGGAGCACCCCCACGAGUACGCGUGCGUCAUCUGCUGA
rnacentral:rRNA from 1 species